UACAGAGGGGGCAAGCGUUAUUCGGAAUUAUUGGGCGUAAAGGGCGCGUAGGCGGCCUGGCAAGUGGAAGGUGAAAUCCCUCGGCUUAACCGAGGAACUGCCCUCCAAACUGCUUGGCUUGAGUCCGGGAGAGGUGAGUGGAAUUCCCAGUGUAGCGGUGAAAUGCGUAGAUAUCGGGAGGAACACCUGUGGCGAAAGCGGCGCACUGGACCACAACUGACGCUGAGGCGCGAAAGCUAGGGGAGCAAACAGG
rnacentral:rRNA from 1 species